rnacentral:lncRNA from 11 species
UUCAGUUCGGCCUUAUGCCUGCGGCAGGAAAAACUGAUUCGCUGCGAAACAGCUGUGUGCUGGUAGUAAACAAGAAAGAAACCACAGCCGUAUACAUCUGCUCGAACGGAAAAACGUCCGUGUAAUAAUAUUUGCAGGAUGACCAACCAUAUGAUGUGUAUGAUAUAUCAUAUGACCUACGCGUACUCGUCUUAUGAUUUGCUAAAUGAAUAAAGACACCAUUUUGUCAUAUUUUGCUUCGAAUAGUACGAACGUUGUCUUCCAAAAGUCUAAAGUCAUCGACUGAUGUGUUCCCGUAUACGCACUUAACUCAAAGGCAUACUGAAGACAUGCACCCAUGUUGAAGAACUUUCACCAUCCUCUUGGUGUCAAGGGUUGGGUAACGGCCAAAACCCAGGGUUCUACCUAUUCUAUACUUUACGUUGGUGAGAAGUCUCCUUUUCUUUCAAUGACAGUUCACAUGCUAAAUUACGCAGAACAUUGGCGUUUCAGGUCAUCUCAUUUAGGGACCGUCUCGAAGAGACAGUGUCCGACCUGGGUGGAAUUUUAAUCAACUGAGAAGUUACUGAACAAAUGCGAAGACCUUAGGCUAAAAUCAUAAUUAUGUACUGUACUCCCAGAGCUAUGAAAGUUUAUUUUGAUUAUGUAUUUUCGCUAAGUAUACAGAUUUGUACUUGGAAUACUUGAAUAAAUAAUCGGUCUGUUUCUUCUAAUCUUUUUUUAUGGAGAUAACUGAUAGACUCAUUGGUUGAAACUCCACAGUAUGAAGCAUAAAGCACAUGCUUAUUGGAUAAAACCGUUUACUUUGUUUAGGCUGAACUCGAUAUGGCUUCUAAAACUGAUUCGAAAGCAAUGUCAAAACGCAGGAAAAUAAUCAGCCCACUAAUGAAACCACUCAAAUAUUACGACGGAAUCACAGGAGCCCAAACACCCGACCCAAAUUCGAACCACAGCUGCUUUUAUACUCCAUCGAAAGUCGAAGUAUAACAUCCUUGUGCAAUAACUAAAUAAUAACCAAAUGAUUUUCCAUCCUCUAGUUGUAUAUACACUACUUGCUCUUUAUUAUCGCUAUAGCGGCACAACUCAUAAAUAUCAACACUUUUUAAUUAGCCGCCGUAUUCGUCAGCCCGCUCGAUCAAUGUCGUUGUUGGUUUUACCAUCAGUCAGCACUUGUAGCUUAAAAUUUUACGUUUACUAGUAUUUGUUUGUUUUGCAUACCAAAUAUUCAUCUGUUACUUUUGUCUCGUCCGUUAUGUACAACGCUUACAGUAGACACAGUUGUUAUACCCUUUCGACCCUCAACCGUAUAUGCCUUCUACUUUCGAAAUCAAUACAGGAAUCAUCAACAUUACCCAAACUUGAUUUGGGAUCCGUGUCACUUCAUGGCAUCAAGCCGUGUUUCUUAUAAUAGUAAUAACCAUUAACGUUCGUUUUGUCGCUGAUAACUCAUGUUACAGUUAUGAUCGGCCCGAUUACCAAAAUGCACUUCUUGGGACCGUUCUGCUCUCCAUCGCUAAAUGCUAUAAACCAUGUUUUUCAUAAAUCAUAUUUGAUGUUCUUUUUUUAUUUAAUACAUCACUCCUUUGUGAAGUUAAGUGAUCUACGCAUUUUUUUGUAACACAGCUGUCAUUUUUUAUUGUACAGUAAGUAUCUUCUUUGUUGUAAUAAACAAGCAUACAACUAAACACCAAGCAUUAUAAAUGCUAAUAUUUCAACAUCUUAGUUAUAUUUAGUUUAUUCCUUGAAACAUAUACAAAUCGAAACUAGCUUAUCUGCAAAUAACCAAUACAUGGCUCAGAAUAGGCAAUAUGAAAAUGCAUAUGUAUAUGAUUUUUGCUUAGGUUGGCAUAUUUAGCUCAGUUAAUAUUAAUCAAUUCCUUGUGCUUCUCUUUGGCUAUAAAUAGAGUUAAAGCAAGAUGCCGAUCGUUUCAGCGUGUCCUUAUUACGCCGAUUAGGUUUCGUUUUGCGCUUAGAACCAAAACUUUGUUGCAGUUAUUGAUACUUUCUAUUAACGGACUUUUUUCUUCUGUCCCGUAGCUCAAUUUCUAUCGAGGUGGUUUUGAUCUUUCAUGUUAGACUUUUGUUCAGGGCUGCUAGGCUCCUUAGAGCAAAUAUUAACUUCACUACGACGCCCUGAUCCGUCACAAGGUUCUCGUAGCUGUUCAUUUCUCUACCUUGUAGUGCCAGAAAUCUAUGUAUUCGUUUCCAUUCUACUGUCACCUCUCGUUGGGUAUAGUCGCUCUGAGGAAUCGAAAAUACUGAGCAGGUUCCUUCCAAAU